UGCAGCAUCGAUUAAUUUGAAAGUAAGUAUUUAAUAAUGAUCAUGAACCUGUCUAUUUUCAGUAAUUGACAGUAAAGUUUUUGGAUUAUCACUAGGCAUAAUUCUUGGGAACAUUAUUGUAUAGGUUUUAUCCAUUCUUGUCCUGGCUCAUGUAUACAAGUAAUAAGCAAAAUUGAUGAAGACAGGAGCAAUGCUUAUGUUUGCAACAACAGAGAUAAUGAAUAUUGCGUCGACACUAUUCUUUUGGCGAUUAACUAACACUAUUGGUUGGAGUUGCUGGGUGUUUUCCUAGUCCGCUGCUAUUAUUAUAACCGUCAUUGCAUUAACAUGUAUUUGUUGCUUUAUAUCAAUCUUUGGAGAGGAGAAAAGUAGCCGCAAUCGUUAUUUUAUCUACUAUUAUGUUGUAGAUUAAGAUUGAAUCAUGCAUUGUGAAUAAAAUGAGUUCAUAAUUAA